AUUGAACGCUGGCGGCAGGCCUAACACAUGCAAGUCGAGCGAGCGGCGGACGGGUGAGUAAUGUCUGGGAAACUGCCUGAUGGAGGGGGAUAACUACUGGAAACGGUAGCUAAUACCGCAUACCAUCAGAUGUGCCCAGAGGGGAUUAGCUAGUAGGGGGGGUAACGGCCCACUAAGGCGACGAUCCCUAGCUGGUCUGAGAGGAUGACCAGCCACAAUGGAACUGAGAAACGGUCCAGACUCCGAAGGGAGGCAGCAGUGGGGAAUAUUGCACAAUGGGCGAAAGCCUGAUGCAGCCAUGCCGCGUGGGUGAAGAAGGCCUUCGGGUUGUAAAGCACUUUCAGCGGGGAGGCGUUACCCGCAGAAGAAGCACCGGCUAACUCCGUGCCAGCAGCCGCGGUAAUUC
rnacentral:rRNA from 1 species